rnacentral:rRNA from 1 species
AUUGAACGCUGGCGGCAUGCUUUACACAUGCAAGUCGAACGGUAACAGGCCUUCUGGUGCUGACGAGUGGCGCACGGGUGCGUAAUGCAUCGGAACGUGCCCAGAGGUGGGGGUUAACGCAGCGAAAGCUGUGCUAAUACCGCAUGUGAUCUGAGGAUGAAAGCGGGGGACCAAGCAGCAAUGUUUGGCCUCGCGCCUCUGGAGCGGCCGAUGUCAGAUUAGGUAGUUGGUGGGGUAAAGGCCUACCAAGCCGACGAUCUGUAGCUGGUCUGAGAGGACGACCAGCCACACUGGGACUGAGACACGGCCCAGACUCCGACGGGAGGCAGCAGUGGGGAAGUUUGGACAAUGGGGGGAAGCCUGAUCCAGCAAUGCCGCGUGCGGGAAGAAGGCCUGCGGGUUGUAAACCGCUUUUGUACGGAACGAAAAGGCUCUGGCUAAUACCUGGGGCUGAUGACGGUACCGGAAGAAUAAGCACCGGCUAACUACGUG